rnacentral:rRNA from 1 species
GGCGAGAGACGAUAGCGAACAAGUACCGUGAGGGAAAGAUGAAAAAGAACUUUGAAAAAGAGAGUUAAACAGUACGUGAAAAUUGUUGAAAAGGGAAACGAUUGAAGCCAGUCGUACCUUCGGGUAAUCAGCCUUUCGGGUGCGAUUCUGUGGGGUGUGAAGAGUUAAACGCCUUCACGUUUUGCAUAUUCGUGCUCUUGGGUGUACUUGCCCGUGUGGUUGGUUAACAUCAAUUUUGGACGCCAUAAAAUGA